CGACCGGCGCACGGGUGAGUAACACGUAUGAAACCUGCCCGUAGCAGGAGGAUAAGCGGAAGAAAUUCCGUCUAAUACCGCGUAACAACCCAUGGAGGCAUCUCUGUGGGUUUAAAGGAAGCGAUUCCGGCUACGGAUGGUCAUGCGUGCAUUAGCUUGUUGGCGGGGUAACGGCCCACCAAGGCGACGAUGCGUAGGGGUUCUGAGAGGAAGGUCCCCCACACUGGUACUGAGACACGGACCAGACUCCUACGGAAGGCAGCAG
rnacentral:rRNA from 1 species